UACGUAGGGGGCAAGCGUUGUCCGGAUUUAUUGGGCGUAAAGAGCGUGUAGGCGGCCAGGUAGGUCUGCUGUGAAAACUCGAGGCUUAACCUCGAGAUGUCGGCGGAAACCAUCUGGCUAGAGUCCGGAAGAGGAGAAUGGAAUUCCCGGUGUAGCGGUGAAAUGCGCAGAUAUCGGGAAGAACACCCGUGGCGAAGGCGGCCUGCUGGGCAGUGGCUGACGCUGAGGCGCGACAGCGUGGGGAGCAAACAGG
rnacentral:rRNA from 1 species